AUUAGAGUUUCCUUUCAAAUUUUGUUGCAUUCAACUUGCAAUAGUCCAGCUCCAUUGAUUUUUACUGGAGCUCUAUUUAUUUCUCAAGUUAAGGUUUCCAUUGACAGAGCCAUUUUGCUCCAUUCUGUGCUGGAAAAACGAGACAACUUCUAAGGACCCUAUAUGAGUAAAGAUGCUAAGUCCAUAGAAAAGGCUAAGAGGUGGAGAAGCUUUCAGUCCUCCCUGUGAUCUCUGAUUGACUUCAGCGGCAUUGAACCAGACAUGUUUGUUCCUUCACUCCUGACAGUACCAGCGCCUCUGGGAAGAUCUUUUUCACUCCUCCAGAACAAGAGAGAAGUUACAUGUCUGAGACGUAUUUCCUUUCUUUCUGGGGAAACAUAAUUGCAUGAGGGCAACUAACCGUAUUUUCCACUUGACUGUUCAUGUCUGGUUAUGGAGAUCAGUAGCUAUCUGUUAUUAAAGACACGUCUCUUUUCAUGUGAAUGCUCCAUGUGCAAAUUUCUGGAGGUGGAGUGUAGUCCUUCUGCCUUGAAGAGCAUCUGGGAAACAAAGUGAAACUUCUUUCCUGAAACUAUAUGAGUAAUUGGUUGUAUGAACAUGGGUGAAUUCAACUUCUCAACUGCAAAGCUCCAGAGCUGAAGCAGGUUCCUACUGCUGUGCCAAUCCUGAAACUCAGCUCUUCAGCUGCAUGUUUCCCACGCAGGGCAGUUAAACCUGGCUGGAGACAUCUGCCUGCUGAUCACAGCUGAUAUUGUGGCAUGCUAAGCUGGGGAUUCAUUUGGAAAUUAACUUACUUUUUAUAUUUUUCAGCCACCAUUGAGCAUGUGACAUUGCUGUGAAGACAAAAGGGGGGACAGAAGUUAGUAGGUCAGUCAUAGAGAAGGGGCCCAUGCAUACAACAGAUGCUGCUUAAGAAGCCCCCUGAGCAGCCCCCCAUGCCCACAGCCAUCAGAAAGCCAGGCCCACCCAGCCUAACCAGCCCGGGCAUGCCUAACAUCUCACCUAUGUCAGCUCUCUGCAACAGCAGGAGUAUCUGGUCUGCUAAUAUUCAGUACACGCCAUCAACACAUCAGCUAGUAACUUGUGCCUUAAUUUUAUCAUGUCGUGCCUGCUUCUUGACUGAAUGAUGAUGUCCUGUGGUCAGGAAAUAAAAAAUGACAAGCGACAUGUAAUGAAUAUCCCCACUCUAGGUAACCUGUUGUUUUCUUUGUUUGCUUGUUUAUUUUUAGAGCUCCCUGACUGCAUCCCUGAAAACCAGAGGCACCUAAAUUUGCUUGACAAUUGGGUAUGAUCAACAAUAAAGGAUCUUUUCAGAUACCUCUGCUAACAUGCACACUGUAAACUCCGUGUAGCCUGUGCUGAAAUAACUGCUGUGCUUCAUCCCCAUCUAAAUAAAAAAUAAUAAGGAAGAGACUCCUGAUAGGAAAAACAAGGGUGAGACAACAAAAAUACCCUCCUGUAUGACCUUGGAGUUUUUUAGAGGUCAUUCUGGAGUUUUCAGGUUGGUGUAGCUUCUUCAUUUUCUUCAUAAUUGCUGGAAAACUGCUUGAACACUGGCCUCAGAGACAGGGAGCACCGGGAAGGCUUGGCAGCUUAUUCUUCCAUGAAAGAAACUUUCAAAGUUUGAAUGUAUAAUGAACUGUGAACAUGUACAGGGAUUUCUCCCCUUCCCUCAUUCUCCUUGUGAAUUUCCAGCAUUGUGUGGUUUAAAUGCAAAAUAUAGGUUCAAGACAAAUGCAGAUGCUAAACCAUGUAAGUAUGAUCUGUGAUCCGUUAUAAUAAGGCCAUAUUCCUAAACUGGGUCUGUAUAGCACAAAAUUAUCUCUGCAAUAGGGCGUCCUAUCACACAAGCUCUGGAAUAUGUUAUUCUUUUGAACUCCCAUUUUCUUGCUUUUAUUGUCUUGUUGGGCUGACGUGUCCUGAAGCUGAAAUACAGAACUGGCAUGCAAAAUAUAUAUAUAUGUAUAUAUAUAUAAUAAAAUUGGGUGACAGGAGCACGCCUGAAAACAAAAGAACUUCAGGAAAGUAGCCUGAACAGUAACUUCUCCACCAAGACCAUAAGGCAUGUGCCAGCUUCCUCCAACCAGAUCAGAGGUGGAUUAAUUUUAAAAAAUGAAAUUCAUCUGAAUUCAAGCUCCUGUCCACAGUGAAAGAGGAUUAUAAGCUGUUGAAGAAGGAAGAUUUUGAAUAAACCAAUUAAUUCACAACAGCUUUCAGCAGGAGGGGUUUUAUUGAAAAAUAUGGGUACUCAACCUAGCAGAGACACUGCAAACAGCUCACCUGUAUGCAGGGUCAGGUCUCCUAUGCACCUGCCUAACUCUUUUUUAACAUUGCCUUGCAGAGAUGCCCUUUAAGGAUCUUGUCUGCAUGGUCCUGAGGAGGAACCUGUCCAUUUCUGUAUAUUCCUGGACAUUUUACAUUUUGGAAAAUUUCCAUUGACUGGAGUGGGGUGCAAACUACUCUGUUCCCCUCUACAAACACAAGGGCUUAGCUAAAGCAUCAAAUUCCAGUCUUGAGGCUGAAGCCUGCUUAAAAGCCACGUUUGCAGUUACAGGUCGAGGUGAUUGAUACAACACAAGAAAAUUGGUGAUUAGCCAACAUUCUAUGAGGGCCAGGUGAGACUGUGAAGAAGUUCACAACUGAUGUGCUGUGAAAAUGCUUCAAAAUCUCUCCCAUGGAAAAUAGACAGCCCUCAUUUUUCUCUUCAAGAAAGUGUUAGACAAAAUGUCCAACAUUGCUUUCAAAUCCGCCUGUGUGUCUGAGGAAACCCCAAAUGGCUUUUUACUUCCUGAACUGUGUAACGCCAUCUCUGAAAGAGAAAUGACCCAAGGAAAAAGGCGUGAGUUACUCAACCUGAGGAGAGCAUCUGUACCCUUAUGUUGCCAGCUAUCACCUUUUACUGGCCUGGAAAAUUUAUUUUAUGUAAUACAGGAAUUGUUCACGUUUCUGAUCAGGGGUUGUGGCCCCAUGUGAUGCUGAAACCCAGUAAGAGAUGGCUUCUGUCCUGCAGAGCUUGUAAUCGUGGCCAACAGUGCUGAUAAAGGGAAGGUGUCAAAUAAAAGCUGAGACAUCUGCCACGCUUGCACAGCAGGUCAGGAGCAGAGCUGUGAGCUGAUCCCAGGUGGGUUCCAGUGCUGUGUCAGGCUAGUUUGCUACUUUUAAAAGUAAUAAAUUCAAACCACAUUUGCAUUAACCUAGGACAGGGUGGACAGUGGAAUGCACGAGGGGAGAAGUUCAGAAAGGAGGGCAAAUCAAAGGCAUUGGGGAUCCGCAGACUGCGUAAUGCAAACAGAGUAAAUCCUGGCAAUUUGCAUCCUCUGGAAUCAGAGACAUUUGGUCUUUGGAUGCAUUUUAUGUGGCAGUAAGCUGCUAUUUUUAGUCUGGUCUUGAAAAGAGCAAAGCCAGAACACCGUGUCAGCAUUUUGACCUGCUGCAAAUUGUGGUACAGCAGGUGGCUCCGUGCAGGGGCAGGCAGCUCCGUCACCCAAUUAGCCUGAGUAACACUGCUGGACCUCCAUCACAAGGGCCCUACUGGCCUUUUCCAGUCUGUGGGGACUUUCCAAUUUAAGCAGAUGCAGUUCUGGUCCACCAACAAGUAGCCUAGCAGAGAAGAGAUAUGUACCCUUCUUCCCUCCCCAUGGCUUUCUCUGCUUUACUAUCCCUCAAGCUACAAGAAGGGUUUGUGUUUGGAGGUGGGAAUUGAGGCUCAUUUUUUACAAAGAAUUCAUAAGGAACCAGGUGAGGAAAGGUUCAAAAUCUUAAGCAUAAUCACAGCAAGUCCAAGCAAUGAAUUUGUUUUUAUUUAUAACCCCCUUUAAAGAUUCAGCUGUUAGGUGCAAAGACAUCCUGGAGACUGCCCUGUGUUGCAUCUAGUUCAUUGCUUUGGUAGUUGGUGGGACUACGCUGUGGGUAAGCAGCAUGAGGGAGAGUUGUAUAUCAGACUUUGUUAAACCACUUCAAACCACCUGAGGUGGCUCAUUUCAAUUAUCCAUUUAAAAAUAGAAUUGUUCUUCCUUCACUGCUCUGCUGAUUCCUGCCUGGUUUAUUUUAGAAUUGCUUUGAGGCUCAGGGGCAGAAAGUGCCUGAUGAGGAUUUAGCUCAACAGAUGCUUAUCUGGCUGCUUCUCCUCCAUUCUUCAAAUGCUAUAAGCCAUCUUACACAGGCUGAUCUUUUACAAAUGUGUCACCAGGUUAUUAGUCAGUAGGUAACGGAUUAACAAAUAAAAAGCCAGAACAUAUAACAGUGCCUGGCUAAAGUUAUCUUACCAAAACCUCAUACUCAGUCCCAAAUCCCACAGUUGUAAAUGCCCUAUUUAUUUAGUUAGUUAGUUUUCAAGGAUCACUUCUAGAUCUGUCUUCAUUUAGGGAAUAAAGGUCAAAGAUCUUGGAAAUCUGGCCUAGGUGGUGUCUGAUCCUCACAGCCCCAUUACUGCAUCGUGGAUCCUCACAGCCCCUUCUGCAUGGUGCCUCAGCUGUCUGCUUUGUUGGCUUGCUCCCACAGUCCCGGCAUCUAUCAGAAAUGCUUUUAGGAAGCAAUGACACCAUCUUGGCUUUCUGUGUGGGAAGUGAGAUAUCUGCAUUAAUUAUACAUUUCCCAGCCUCUUCCCACUGGCAACAGCAUGUGCAAGAACGGGUGGUUAUUUAGGGCCAAGGGGGAUGUGAGUCUGGGGCUUUUGCAACCUUAGAAGAGAUUGCUACGAUGACAAUCAGGAGCUGCCUGCUUCUCUGGGGAGCAACUGGGGGGAUCUAUGCAGAACACCGAAGACAAGUCAACACAUAUGUCUGUGCUGAAGGAUAAAAUAAUUUAAAGCCCCAGCUGAAAUGAAGCUUUCUGGCAACAUGGAGGACAACAUGAAGGAACUUAAUAAUCUAUAAUAAUAAUAAUAUCUCUGUGGUGUUUGUCUUUGGGCCAAGAAGAAUAUGUGGAAAAUGCUAUUGUGUCUGACAGCAGCUUGGAGGUGUUUGUGGGAUCUUUGGUGUUGUGGUUUUUGUUUGUUUGUUUGGUUAGUUGUUUUUAGUUUUUUCUUUCUUUUUCUCUCUUUUUAUUAUUAUUUUUUUUAUUUUAGCAGCUUUCAGGCAAUUCACCCAGAGAAGUCUGCAACACAGGUAUUUCAAGAGCGUAAGUCCAUAUGAGAAAUUGAACUGGAUGAGUGUGUUUCUCUGGCAGUCAAUAAAAUGAGAGGGAGAAACAGGGAGAAACUGUUGAAACUUUCACACAUCUGAAAAGCCAGGACUGUAAUUUUAAGUAACUGGGGGUUGGUGAGGGAACCAUUGCUGCUAAGGGGUCCCAUUAGGUUAUGUGGUUAGCGGUUCAUUCCCCACACAUGAAGGAGCAGAGACACACAGAGGGGAGACAGACCCCAAUAACCUACCCAGGGAAACAACCCAUGGCUCCUCAGCUCCCAGGGCUGCCCCAGGAGAGUCUCAACCCCAUGGUCUGGGAGUGAUAAACACCUCAUGAGCCAACGAGUCCUAGAUGUUCUCCAAAUUACCUCACAGACUGGGAAAGUGUGGGGCUCCUUAUGAGAUGCAGGGGAAGAGCAUUUGGGGAAUGCACAAGACUUUUUGGGGUGUUUAGGGGGGGAACCAAAGGAGGGAAGAAGGAGAGAUAUGGGUAGUUUGGAGAGGAAAAAGCAUGGGAAAAUAGAA